rfam:Populus trichocarpa scaffold_8_contig_25, whole genome shotgun sequence.
UAGCAGAAAAAUUUGUGUUUGGAAAAUGGUGAGGUAAUUAGGCAGCGGCCAGACAACCGUAGGGAUGGUAUCCACAGAUGGCGGGUAAUCCCGCUUUGUCUACUGAUUCCAUCUCACAUUU